rnacentral:misc_RNA from 1 species
GGCAUCUCCCAGGAAUUCAGAGAAAAUAGCAUUAAUUGCUUGUAGAAUGGUUAAGUGACAAAAUUGGGCCUGUUGAUAAUCUCCAAGAGACGCAAACCACACUUGAAGAGAUCCAAUUGCUCUGGAAAUGAAUUCUUUCAAAACAACAUGUGAAUCAGCUCAUUCUCGAAGCAUCUGUAUGUCUAACCAUGCCUUAAACUCAGCAAGGCAAUCUCUCCAUUUAGAUGGAGGGAUAUCAUCUAAAGUGAACCACGGAGCAGAGCUAGGUUUGGUCUGUUGCUAAGUAUUUGGGAGAUCAAAAUUCAAUUCCACUGGUUCAUCAUCUGGAACUUCUACUUGGGGUCCCUGGGCAAGAGUAGGACUUGUAGUUGUACCACUAGUGGAAUCUGUAGUAGGAGCGGAUCAGCCAUGAGUAAAGCUAUAAUAUUUCCAGUGUCACUAUCAUUACUGGAAGAAUCAUCAUCGUCAUCAUCGGAGGAACUAUCAUCAGAUUCAUGUGGUACAGAAAUCAAGUCUUCUUCUGGUGUUUUGGAGAGAGUCAUCAGAGGAAGAUAAGCUGCUAGAUUCAAAUCUGGUAGGUGCAGGAGGAGGCACUGGUUUGUGAAACAGAGGUGAUGGGGUGUAUGGUAUGGGUGUUGGUUCAAAAGCAAAACUAAAUGGGGAGUAAACUGGGGCAGGAGUUACUAUGAAUGGAUUUUGUAUCUUUUGUGAAGAAAAUGAGCUAUAAGGAGCAGGUGUCUCAACUGGUCUAUGAAGAUCAGCUUCAACUUGGGCUAGCUGUUUCUUUAGCCUCUUUAUCUCUGCUUCUUUCUGGUUAAAUUCCAUACCAAACUUCCUCAGUUGAAUCAAGGAUCGAAGAUCUUUAUCCAAUUGGGUGAUUUUCACUUGUAAAUCUCUAUACAUAUUCUGGGCAAACAAGGAAAAUGAAUCCACCUUUUGAUUAAGAGUGUGAGUUCUAGUGAGGACUUGAUCAAUUUUAGAAUCAAUACGCUGCAGUGUCUUGUUUUGUACUGCUGCGUUCUUUGUCUGCCAGUUUAAGACUUCUCCUGCUUGGGUUAUUGGGACUAGUUGGCCAUCAGCAUCAAUUUUGGCUAUUUGCACAAAAGGUCUUGUAGAGAUCUUAGUCUGCUGAUCUGUU